rnacentral:rRNA from 1 species
UGAAAGCGAGAGCACGAGCGCGCGCGCUAACGGCGGUCUGCCCGGAUCCUAACACAUCAAUAAUCAACAUACACAUUUCCUGCUAGUUGACAUUACCGAUAGACCUGGCCGCCGCGAUCAUUAAUAAAUGAUGUACGAAUCUACACGACGAAGGAUAGACUCACAGGAACUCGGCAACAAAAAGAGGACUUCAUAGAACACGAUGGGUGGAGGUGACGCGCCUGAAAGACAGGAUGGACAGUCACAAGCCCUCGGGCCACUUAGAGAGGUAACACACAAUAAGGAAAGAGCAACAAGUGAGAGGGCCGGCGACUAACAGAGGCAGAGACCGACCUAGAGGGGGAUGUUUUUUCACACGAUGCGAAACAGCAUAGGGGGACGGUAGGGCAGAAAAUGAAAAUUUGGUAAAAGGGAAUGGCCCUUUAGCCUUGUAAAGGGUAGGAGUGAUUGGGAUGGGGAAUAUUAGCGAAAGGAAGAUGAUUUAAAAGGAAGACGUAGUUGGAAAAAAAACCAAAGAACUAACACAAGGUUCCCGUAGGUAAGGCCUUAGGUGGUCUGUGCUGUAAAAUGCUACAGGGCAACCCAAGCGNCGCAAUAUUUUUUUUUUACCAGCACCCGUGAGGGAAAGUUGAAAAGAACUUUGAAGAGAGAGUUCAAAAGGGCGGGAAACCGUUUAGAAGUAAACGGGUAAAGCCGCGAGAUAGCUGUAAAAAUCAAUCAAAGGAUUGGGUAGUCGGUCGUUGGACUGAUCGUCAUUUGACGUCCUUCGGCCGACGUUAAAUCAAACUCAUCUUUCUUUGACUCAUUUUUUAUGGCGUACUAUCGCAACCGGAGCCAAUUCCGGCUGAAUGGAGUGUUUGAAGACGAAACGAUUUGUGUCGUCUCGUGACUAGACUAGCCAGGAAGCUGAGUAAUGGGCUCCGACUCCUCGACUUAUUUACGAUUAGCUCUCUCGUAGAGCUAGACUUUGUCGACUGGUUGGUCAAUUAAAAUGAUGGUUUUUGCUUGCAGGGACGGACGACGCUUGGCUGAUUAGUUCGGCACGACUUGGUCGACUAUUCUCAAUCGUAAUGGAUUCGCGAUAUUCGCAGCGGCGACUUACCCGACCCGUCUUGAAACACGGACCAAGGAGUGUAACAUAUGUGCGAGUUUGUAGGUUGAAAGAAACCUAAAGGCGUAAUAAAAGUAAAAGAUGCUUUUGUAGCUGAAAUAAGAUCCUUGGUCUCUCGGGGCCAAGGCGAAGUAUUGUCCCAUCCUAAGCGGUUCGGCCGCUAGGUGGAGAAAGAGCACAAAUGAUGGGACCCGAAAGAUGGUGAACUAUGCUGAGCAGAACGAAGCCAGAGGAAGAUCUGGUGGAGGUUGCGUAGCGGUUCUGACGUCCAAAUCGAUCGUCAGACAUGACAUUACUAUGAAACGAUUAGGGG